UACGUAGGGUGCAAGCGUUGUCCGGAAUUAUUGGGCGUAAAGAGCUCGUAGGCGGUGUGUCGCGUCGGCCGUGAAAACCUGCAGCUUAACUGUGGGCUUGCGGUCGAUACGGGCAUCACUGGAGUUCGGCAGGGGAGACUGAAUUCCUGGUGUAGCGGUGAAAUGCGCAGAUAUCAGAGGAACACGGUGCGAAGGCGGGUCUCUGGGCCGAUACUGACGCUGAGGAGCGAAAGCGUGGGGAGCGAACAGG
rnacentral:rRNA from 1 species